UACGUAGGGAGCAAGCGUUGUUCGGAUUUACUGGGCGUAAAGGGCGCGUAGGCGGCAAUUCAAGUCAUCUGUGAAAUCUCCGGGCUUAACUCGGAACGGUCAGAUGAUACUGCUUUGCUAGAGUGCAGAAGGGGCAAUCGGAAUUCUCGGUGUAGCGGUGAAAUGCGUAGAUAUCGAGAGGAACACCAGAGGUGAAGACGGGUUGCUGGGCUGACACUGACGCUGAGGCGCGAAAGCGUGGGGAGCAAACAGG
rnacentral:rRNA from 1 species